rnacentral:rRNA from 1 species
GAUAAACGCUGGCGGCGUGCCUAACACAUGCAAGUCGAACGCUCUCGCAAGAGAGAGUGGCGGACGGGUGAGGAACACGUGGGUACCUACCUUGAGGUGAGGAAUACCGGCGAGAAAUCGCCGACAAUACCGCAUACCCUUUGAAAGAAGGAAAGUCUCGCAAGAGACGCCACAAGAUGGGCCUGCGCCCGAUUAGCUGGUUGGUGGGGUAAUGGCCUACCAAGGCUGCGAUCGGUAGCUGGUCUGAGAGGACGAUCAGCCACACUGGGAUUGAGAA